rnacentral:lncRNA from 1 species
UUAAGAAAAAUUAAAUAUUAAAAUAUUAAAAAAAUAAUUAGCGACCGAAUUUUCGGUCGUUAAAAAAUAAAAAUAAAUAAAUAAUAAAAUCGGUCGUUAAACGAUCGUAAAUCGGUCGUUAAGGCCGAAAAAUUAACGACCGAAAUUUUCGGUCGUUAAUUUCGGUCGUUAAACGCGUGUUUUCUUGUAGUGAAUAUAUCAACAACAACCCCUGACUGAACAAAACUCAGAACAAAACUCAAUUCUACAAGGGACAUAAAACGCAUUCUGAAUGUUAAUGCCUCAAACCAAAAAGUAGCAAAC